ensembl:lncRNA
GGGAGGGAGGGAGGGGGGGAUUAAGUAGAGAGACGUCUAUGUUGACGUGUCUCCCGCCCAUUCAUUUUAUUUUACUUGAAGUCCGCUCGGCUGGCUUAGCUUAGUCACUUGAUUAGCAUCUCGCUCUUUUCCCUCGGCCGGUUAAUGCGUCAACACGCCAUGCCUGACUUCAUACUUGGUGAGUGUCAUCGCCCAGCUCGCGCGCAAGUGUGUGUGUGUGUGUGUGUGUGUGUGUGUGUGUGUGUGUGUGUGUGUGUGUGUGUGUGUGUGUGUGUGUGUGUGUGUGUGUGUGUGUGUGUGUGUGUGUGUGUGUGUGUGUGUGUGUGUGUGUGUGUGUGUGUGUGUGUGUGUGUGUGUGUGUGGGGCUUAUAUAUCUGUGCUCCACUGGAGCAGAUGCACAUCAGGGCCAUGGUGACAGAGUACACACACAGAGGCAGAGGAACACUGAGGGAAAACAACCUGAGAGAUGAUCCAGAGCAAAGGUGGGCUGUCCGGCCAAAUAACAGUCAAGCCCUGGCGUUACAUCACUGCUCUGAGGUUUGAGAACGCAGCCCAAUCCCUCUGUUCCGAGAGCAAUGUUAAGGGGGUGAGGGGGACCCCCUUAAAACAGGCGUGGCCUUACUAAAACACACAAGCUGAGCUCAGAGUUGAGCCAGGGCAUCUAGGAACACACAUCGUUUUUUGUCAUACAUUUUUCUUUCAUAAUUCGUCCUAAUUCGGCUUUUAAUCUGUUCUUUUGUUUCAUUUUACAGCCAUACAUACAUACACACAUGCACAUACAAACAUGCACAUAGAGAUACAAAAGCAUACACACACAACACCCCCCCCCACACACACACACACACACACACACAGAAGUCUGUGUCCUUGUGCUUGAGCAUGGUUCCGUACGAUGAUUAACAAUUAUCUAAAGCCAGACAAGGUUAGGGGUUCGGGGAAUGAGGUCAGAGGUAAAGGAUUACAAUGCCGUAGCCAGGUCAACUGCUCUUUAAUCUAAAAUCCCAGCCUUACACCGUCUGCUGUCUCAAAGACAUCAGUCUCUCUCAAAACUCUUUCAAAGACGAUAUUAUAAUCAAAUGAAAAAAAGGAAACAAUGCUGAAGAUUCAGACUAGAUAAUGGAAUGCUAAUCCAACCAUCUUCUAGUAGCAUCAUAGCUAGGACCACGGGUUGUGCUGACAGCCUAAUAGCAUUAGCAACGGAAAAAGAGAUUUACAUUCACUACAGCGCAUAAAGGACGGGAAUGAAAAAAAUACAAGCCCCCCCGUAGGCAGCAUGCCCCUCCGUCGAGGGGCUGAGUGGUUCCUCAUCAAGCUCUUAACCCCUCGCCGAGACAAGAUCGGCUCCCCAGAAGAUUUAGGCAGGAUGGAUAGAAUCGGAUUAGCUCCCAGACCCUAAGUGGGACUAACUCUUCGGAGACGACCACCUGAUAUUUGCAUAGUUAGGGAAAAACCAUGCCAAAUCUUUAGCAUUUCAUCCAGUAAUGGAAAGUCUGCUCCUCUUAGUAAAUGAGAUGGACGAGUGAGGACAAUCUGCCAUAUUCUUACACACGAUACACUUAAAAGUAUACGGGGGGGGAAGUAAUCUAUCGCUCACAUCACAUGCAACUACACUUCCACUCAGGAUAAUAGCUGUAACGGUUGUGUACAGAUAGAGGUAAGAUAAAAGACUAGUUACAUUUCUGUCAGGACGUCGGUUGGCUUUGGGGCUCGGACAACUUGCUUUAGGAGUGAUUUUGAGGAACGAGGGUGAAGGGAGAGAACGAGGGAGAAGGGAGAGAACGAGGGUGAAGGGAGAGAGCGAGGGUGAAGGGAGAGAGCGAGGGAGAAGGGAGAGAGCGAGGGGGAAGGGAGAGAGUGAGAGAGAAGGGCGAGAGCGAGGGCCAGGCCUGGCGCCACAUGAACGUUAGCUCAAGCUUUGGCACUGGAUGAUGUUCAACUCUUUAGUUGAAAGUCCUACAUCAUCAUACAACUCUCAUUGUCACACAACAUUUAGUUUGGCCAUGCUCAUUCCGUCCAGCGCAUGUGGAGGUCAGGGCGAGCAGACAGGAGAAGAUAGACUCUCCUCAUGCCCCCCCUCCUGUCCAUGGCCCCCCACCUGUCCAUGGCCCAGCGCCAACAACCGCCAGUCCUCCAGGACAGGCAGGGGCACGCGGGCAGCGUAGCGGCCGCUCGUACAGGAGAGAUAAAUGUUUGUCUCCUGUGUUGCAGCGUUUGAGGGAUGGACAUUAAACACGGGGGGGUAGAGGUUAGGGGCACAUCGUGUAACGCCCUACUGGGAACGCGGUCGUAAUCCCUCAGUCUUACACUGAAGGGAAAAGUUGUUCAGAGUCUAGAACAAAGUCCUAG